AUGUAUGAUGAAAACGAAUUUAUUGCACGAUUUAGAUUGUGUAAAGAAACAGUUCUUAGAAUAGUUGAUAUUAUUCGUGAUAAAAUACAAAUAAGAACAAUGAGGAACAAUGCUGUAACACCAUUACAUCAAUUAUUAUUGACAUUGCGUUACUAUGCAACUGGAACUUUUCAGAUUGCUAUAGCAGAUUUUGCAGGAAUUCAUAAAUCAACUGCAUGCAGAAUUAUAAAAAAAGUAACAAUAGCUUUGGCUUCUGAAUGUCAUCGUCAUAUACAUUUUCCAGAAAACACAGAAAAAACACGUCAAGAGUUUUACAACAUUGCUAAAUUUCCACGUGUCAUUGGUGCAAUAGAUUGUACUCACGUCAAAAUUCAAUCUCCAGGCGGAGAAGAGGCAGAAGUUUUUCGAAACAGAAAAGGUAUUUUCACUAUUAAUGUGCAAGCUGUGUGUAACAGUAAAUUGCAAUUUCAAGACAUAGUAGCUCGAUGGCCUGGUUCAACUCACGAUGCUACAAUUUUUGAUGCUAGUUAUUUGCGUGCCAAAUUUGUUCGGGGCGAAAUGCAAGAUGGAAUCUUACUAGGAGAUAUCCCUGUAUAAAAUUUUUAAUGACUCCUUUAUUGCAAACACAUAAUCGUGCUGAAGAAUUGUAUAACGAGUCGCAAAUACGCACUCGAAACAUUAUUGAACGUGCCUUUGGAGCAUGGAAACGCAGGUUUCCUGUAUUAGCAGUAGGCAUGAGAUUGUCCAUAGUUACUGUUCAAGCUAUUAUAAUUGCAACUGCAAUAUUACAUAAUAUUGCUCGUCAAAUGAACGAUCCUGAUCCACCAGUUAAUUUCGACAUGGAACAACUAAUUGAAGCACUGGAAAAUGAUGAAAAUAAUGCAAUAUUAAAUAACGCUCGAGCUGAUACAGCUAGAACAGUAUUAAUUAAUACAUAUAUUAUGUUCGCGAAAGACUUAGCCGUGGAGACAGGCGCGACGAUAAAUGACGGCAAUGAAGACACCACAACUUCUUGCAAUAAAGACGAGCCACGACACACACUGAAGUGA